UACGUAGGGUGCAAGCGUUAAUCGGAAUUACUGGGCGUAAAGCGUGCGCAGGCGGUUUUGUAAGUUUGUCGUGAAAGCCCCGGGCUCAACCUGGGAAUUGCGAUGAAGACUGCAAGGCUUGAAUCGUGGCAGAGGGGGAUGGAAUUCCGCGUGUAGCAGUGAAAUGCGUAGAUAUGCGGAGGAACACCGAUGGCGAAGGCAAUCCCCUGGGCCUGCACUGACGCUCAUGCACGAAAGCGUGGGGAGCAAACAGG
rnacentral:rRNA from 1 species